UACGUAGGUGGCAAGCGUUGUCCGGAUUUACUGGGCGUAAAGGGCGUGCAGGCGGUUUGUUAAGUGCAGGGUGAAAGCUCCCGGCUCAACUGGGAGAGGUCCUUGCAUACUGGCAAACUCGAGGGAGGCAGAGGAAAGUGGAAUUCCGGGUGUAGUGGUGAAAUGCGUAGAGAUCCGGAGGAACACCAGUGGCGAAGGCGACACGCUGGGCCGUACCUGACACUGAUGCGCGACAGCAUGGGGAGCAAACAGG
rnacentral:rRNA from 1 species